rnacentral:rRNA from 1 species
GACGAACGCUGGCGGCGUGCUUAACACAUGCAAGUCGAACGGUGAAAGCGGAGCUUGCUCCGCUGGAUCAGUGGCGAACGGGUGAGUAACACGUGGGCAACCUGCCCCUCACUUCGGGAUAACUCCGGGAAACCGGGGCUAAUACCGGAUAUGACCUCCUUGGGCAUCCUUGGAGGUGGAAAGUUUUUCGGUGAGGGAUGGGCCCGCGGCCUAUCAGCUUGUUGGUGAGGUAGUGGCUCACCAAGGCGACGACGGGUAGCCGGCCUGAGAGGGCGACCGGCCACACUGGGACUGGGCCACGGCCCAGGCUCCUACGGGAGGCAGCAGUGGGGAAUAUUGCGCAAUGGGCGAAAGCCUGACGCAGCAACGCCGCGUGCGGGAGGACGGCCUUCGGGUUGUAAACCGCUUUCAGCAGGGAAGAAGCCGCAAGGUGACGGUACCUGCAGAAGAAGCACCGGCUAACUACGUGCCAGCAGCCGCCGUAA